rnacentral:rRNA from 1 species
AGUGAACGCUGGCGGCGUGCUUAACACAUGCAAGUCGAACGAGAACGGAUUAUAGCUUGCUAUAAUUGUCAGCUAAGUGGCGCACGGGUGAGUAAUGUAUAGGUAAUAUGCCUCUUACUAAGGGAUAACAAAUGGAAACGUUUGCUAAUACCUUAUACUCCUUAUUAACCUAAGUUAAUAAGGUAAAGAUUUAUUGGUAAGAGAUUAGCCUGUAUUGUAUCAGUUAGUUGGUGGGGUAAUGGCUUACCAAGACUAUGACACAUAACUGGUUUGAGAGGAUGAUCAGUCACACUGGAAUUGAGACACGGUCCGGACUCCUACGGGAGGCAGCAGUGGGGAAUAUUGCACAAUGGACGAAAGUCUGAUGCAGCAACGCCGCGUGGAGGAUGACACAUUUCGGUGCGUAAACUCCUUUUAUAUGAGAAGAUAAUGACGGUAUUAUAUGAAUAAGCACCGGCUAACUCCGUGCCAGCAGCCGCUGUAA